rnacentral:rRNA from 1 species
UAGUCGGGACCUAAGCUGAGGCCGAAAGGCGUAGGUGAUGGACAACAGGUUGAUAUUCCUGUACUACCGAUAACCGUUUGAGAGAUGGGAUGACACAGUAGGAUAAGCUAAGCACACUGUUGGUUAUGUGUGCCCAAGCAUUGAGGCAGCCAGAGUAGGUAAAUCCGCUUUGAUAAUGCUGGGAUGUGAUGGGGAGCGAAAUUUAGUAGCGAGUAGCUGAUUUCACACUGUCAAGAAAAGUCUCUAUCGAGGUUAAAGGUACCCGUACCGCAAACC